rnacentral:rRNA from 1 species
GACGAACGCUGGCGGCGUGCUUAACACAUGCAAGUCGAACGGAAAGGCCCUGCUUUUGUGGGGUGCUCGAGUGGCAAACGGGUGAGUAACACGUGAGUAACCUGCCCUUGACUUUGGGAUAACUUCAGGAAACUGGGGCUAAUACCGGAUAGGAGCUCCUGCUGCAUGGUGGGGGUUGGAAAGUUUCGGCGGUUGGGGAUGGACUCGCGGCUUAUCAGCUUGUUGGUGGGGUAGUGGCUUACCAAGGCUUUGACGGGUAGCCGGCCUGAGAGGGUGACCGGCCACAUUGGGACUGAGAUGCGGCCCAGACUCCUACGGGAGGCAGCAGUGGGGAAUAUUGCACAAUGGGCGGAAGCCUGAUGCAGCAACGCCGCGUGCGGGAUGACGGCCUUCGGGUUGUAAACCGCUUUCGCCUGAGACGAAGCGUGAGUGACGGUAAUGGGUAAAGAAGCACCGGCUAACUACGUG